rnacentral:misc_RNA from 1 species
GUUUCCAUAUUGUCGAUCUUGCUAUUUUCAUCCCUCCAAUGGAAGGACAACUUUUGGAUGAUUUUGAACCGCAUACAGUAUUUGGACCAAAUGAAAUCUGAAUCCCUCUGAGAUUCUGCAGUUGUUAUUACAUCUGGAACUUCAAACUUUAUGAAAUUCCGUGUGUAAACACAUGUAUGCUGUGUGCAUAUGGAACAACUAACAUUUUUGUCCAGCAUGUAUGUCUGAGUUGUG